rnacentral:rRNA from 1 species
UACGGGGGGGGGCAAGCGUUUGUUCGGAAUUACUGGGCGUAAAGGGCUCGUAGGCGGCCAACUAAGUCAGACGUGAAAUCCCUCGGCUUAACCGGGGAACUGCGUCUGAUACUGGAUGGCUUGAGAUUGGGAGAGGGAUGCGGAAUUCCAGGUGUAGCGGUGAAAUGCGUAGAUAUCUGGAGGAAUACCGGUGGCGAAGGCGGCAUCCUGGACCGGCAUUGACGCUGAGGAGCGAAAGCCAGGGGAGCAAAGCGGG